ensembl:lncRNA novel transcript
GAAGGCAGGGUGGGCUCCCGCACGGGAGGAGGGCCCCGCUCAGGCCAUUGGCUGUCUCCUCGCUGAAGGUGGACGGCAGAUGCCCCAGGCCUAGCCUUUAACCCUAACCGAGAUGCUCAGAGCAGCUUUAAAGGUCAGCCUCUCCCUGGCCCAGGAUGGUACUCGGCUCACCAUACGUCAGGCACGUCAGCAAGAGCAGCGGCAGCAGGAACCAGAGGAACGUCUUCAGGGACGAGAAGCGCCUGGACCACGCGGGAGGGCAGGACGGGGGAGGCGGAGGUGUGAGGGGAGCUCCAGGCCUCCACGUUCCACCCAGGGAGUACCCUGAGAUGUUUUCCUGGGUGCUGAACUAGAGCUAAGGAGGAUAGCUUGAGCUUCUCACUGUGCCAGGGCCAGCCUGGACACGUCAGAGCCUUUCCUGCUGGGCAGGUCUUAGAGUGAUGGGACAAUUUUGACUGAAUUUUACUGAUGUUAUUAAAAAUAGUGUGGUCUUUGAAAAA